AAACAUAACCUUUAGCCAAAAAAGUAUUAAAGGCAACGCCUGCCCAGUGAAUAGUUCAACGGCCGCGGUACCCUAACCGUGCAAAGGUAGCAUAAUCAUUUGUCUAUUAAUUGUAGACCUGUAUGAAUGGCAAAAUGAGGGUUCAACUGUCUCUUAUAAUAAGUCUAUUAAACUGAUCUCCUAGUAAAAAAGCUAGGAUACCCCCAUAAGACCAGAAGACCCUGUGAAGCUUAAACUAAACCAUUAAACCCAAUAAUGACUACUUUCGGUUGGGGCGACCUUGGAAAUAAAAAUAACUUCCAAUACAUAUGACAUACCACACCCACUAGGCCUACAAGCCAAUAAAUGACCCAGUACUACUGAUAAUAGAACAAAGUUACUCCAGGGAUAACAGCGCUAUCUUCUUCAAGAGCCCAUAUCAAAAAGAAGGUUUACGACCUCGAUGUUGGAUCAGGACAUCCUAAUGGUGCAACCGCUAUUAAGGGUUCGUUUGUUCAACGAUUAAUGUCCUACGUGAUC
rnacentral:rRNA from 1 species